UACUCCUACGGGAGGCAGCAGUGGGGAAUUUUGGACAAUGGGCGCAAGCCUGAUCCAGCCAUGCCGCGUGUCUGAAGAAGGCCUUCGGGUUGUAAAGGACUUUUGUCAGGGAAGAAAAGGCUGUUGCUAAUAUCGACAGCUGAUGACGGUACCUGAAGAAUAAGCACCGGCUAACUACGUGCCAGCAGCCGCGGUAAUACGUAGGGUGCGAGCGUUAAUCGGAAUUACUGGGCGUAAAGCGAGCGCAGACGGUUACUUAAGCAGGAUGUGAAAUCCCUGGGCUCAACCUGGGAACUGCGUUCUGAACUGGGUGACUAGGGUGUGUCAGAGGGAGGUAGAAUUCCACGUGUAGCAGUGAAAUGCGUAGAGAUGUGGAGGAAUACCGAUGGCGAAGGCAGCCUCCUGGGAUAACACUGACGUUCAUGCUCGAAAGCGUGGGUAGCAAACAGGAUUAGAUACCCUGGUAGUCCACGCCCUAAACGAUGUCAAUUAGCUGUUGGGCAACUUGAUUGCUUAGUAGCGUAGCUAACGCGUGAAAUUGACCGCCUGGGGAGUACGGUCGCAAGAUUAAAACUCAAAGGAAUUGACGGA
rnacentral:rRNA from 1 species